rnacentral:tRNA from 1 species
GGGCCCGUAGCUCAGCCUGGCAGAGCGCUGCCCUUGCAUGGCAGAAGUCGUCGGUUCGAAUCCGAUCGGGUCCACCC